AUAAGGUAGAGAAAUUGAUGCUGUCU
rnacentral:piRNA from 1 species